GUGCAGCAGGCGAGAAUCCUCCGCAAUGCGCGAAAGCGCGACGGGGUUACCCCGAGUGCCGUCCGCUGAGGACGGCUUUUGCCCAGUGUAGCCAGCUGGGCGAAUAAGGAGAGGGCAAGUCUGGUGUCAGCCGCCGCGGUAAUACCAGCUCUCCGAGUGGUGGGGACGCUUAUUGGGCCUAAAGCAUCCGUAGCCGGUCUGGCAAGUCCCUUGUUAAAUCCAACGAUUCAAUCGUUGGACUGCAAGGGGAUACUGCCAGACUAGGGGGCGGGAGAGGCCGACGGUAUUCCCGGGGUAGGGGUGAAAUCCUAUAAUCCCGGGAGGACCACCAGUGGCGAAGGCUGUCGGCUAGAACGCGCCCGACGGUGAGGGAUGAAAGCUGGGGGGAGCGAACCGGAUUAGAUA
rnacentral:rRNA from 1 species